AGUGCAGCCCGAAGCCCCGCAGUCCCCGAGCACGCGUGGCCAUGCGUCCCCUGCGCCCCCGCGCCGCGCUGCUGGCGCUCCUGGCCUCGCUCCUGGCCGCGCCCCCGGUGGCCCCGGCCGAGGCCCCGCACCUGGUGCAGGUGGACGCGGCCCGCGCGCUGUGGCCCCUGCGGCGCUUCUGGAGGAGCACAGGCUUCUGGAGGUCCACUGGACGGGGCCUGAGCUACAACUUCACCCACCUGGACGGGUACCUGGACCUUCUCAGGGAGAACCAGCUCCUCCCAGGGUUUGAGCUGAUGGGCAGCGCCUCGGGCCACUUCACUGACUUUGAGGACAAGCAGCAGGUGUUUGAGUGGAAGGACUUGGUCUCCAGCCUGGCCAGGAGAUACAUCGGUAGGUACGGACUGGCGCAUGUUUCCAAGUGGAACUUCGAGACGUGGAACGAGCCAGACCACCACGACUUUGACAACGUCUCCAUGACCAUGCAAGGCUUCCUGAACUACUACGAUGCCUGCUCGGAGGGUCUGCGCGCCGCCAGCCCCGCCCUGCGGCUGGGAGGCCCCGGCGACUCCUUCCACACCCCACCGCGAUCCCCGCUGAGCUGGGGCCUCCUGCGCCACUGCCACGACGGUACCAACUUCUUCACUGGGGAGGCGGGCGUGCGGCUGGACUACAUCUCCCUCCACAGGAAGGUGCGCCCUGCCCCUCCGUCCGCCCCGGUGUUCUGCGCCCUCAGCCGCUGUACCCCGGGCCGCGCUGACCCUGGUGGUGCUGAGGCGGCCCCGCCCGCAGGGUGCGCGCAGCUCCAUCUCCAUCCUGGAGCAGGAGAAGGUCGUCGCGCAGCAGAUCCGGCAGCUCUUCCCCAAGUUCGCGGACACCCCCAUUUACAACGACGAGGCGGACCCGCUGGUGGGCUGGUCCCUGCCACAGCCGUGGAGGGCCGACGUGACCUACGCGGCCAUGGUGGUGAAGGUGGGCCGGCCCAACGCCCUGCGCGCCCCCCGGCCACCUUCCUCCCGGGACGGGACAGGCGAGCGGUGGCCGCGCCACCCGGUCCCAGCUGCCCUGGACACCCGCAGGUCAUCGCGCAGCAUCAGAACCUGCUACUGGCCAACACCACCUCCGCCUUCCCCUACGCGCUCCUGAGCAACGACAAUGCCUUCCUGAGCUACCACCCGCACCCCUUCGCGCAGCGCACGCUCACCGCGCGCUUCCAGGUCAACAACACCCGCCCGCCGCACGUGCAGCUGUUGCGCAAGCCGGUCCUCACCGCCAUGGGGCUGCUGGCGCUGCUGGAUGAGGAGCAGCUCUGGGCCGAAGUGUCGCAGGCCGGGACGGUCCUGGACAGCAACCACACGGUGGGCGUCCUGGCCAGCGCCCACCGCCCCCAGGGCCCGGCCGACGCCUGGCGCGCCGCGGUGCUGAUCUACGCGAGCGACGACACCCGCGCCCACCCCAACCGCAGCGUCGCGGUGACCCUGCGGCUGCGCGGGGUGCCCCCCGGCCCGGGCCUGGUCUACGUCACGCGCUACCUGGACAACGGGCUCUGCAGCCCCGACGGCGAGUGGCGGCGCCUGGGCCGGCCCGUCUUCCCCACGGCAGAGCAGUUCCGGCGCAUGCGCGCGGCUGAGGACCCGGUGGCCGCGGCGCCGCGCCCCUUACCCGCCGGCGGCCGCCUGACCCUGCGCCCCGCGCUGCGGCUGCCGUCGCUUUUGCUGGUGCACGUGUGUGCGCGCCCCGAGAAGGCGCCCGGGCAGGCAAGUGGCAGUCCCCUAACCCGCGCCGCGGCCCGGACUCCCCUUCCCCGACGCCAUCACAGCCCUUCCCUCCCCCAGGUCACGCGGCUCCGCGCCCUGCCCCUGACCCAAGGGCAGCUGGUUCUGGUCUGGUCGGAUGAACACGUGGGCUCCAAGUGCGUGCCUGUGGACAUACGAGAUCCAGUUCUCUCAGGACGGUAAGGCGUACACCCCGAUCAGCAGGAAGCCAUCGACCUUCAACCUCUUUGUGUUCAGCCCAGACACAGGUGCUGUCUCUGGCUCCUACCGAGUUCGAGCCCUGGACUACUGGGCCCGACCAGGCCCCUUCUCGGACCCUGUGCCGUACCUGGAGGUCCCUGUGCCGUACCUGGAGGUCCCUGUGCCAAGAGGGCCCCCAUCCCCGGGCAAUCCAUGAGCCUGUGCUGAGCCCCAGUGGGUUGCACCUCCACCGGCAGUCAGCGAGCUGGAGCUGCACUGUGCCCAUGCUGCCCUCCCAUCACCCCCUUUGCAAUAUAUUUUUAUAUUUU
rnacentral:sRNA from 1 species